rnacentral:rRNA from 1 species
GACGAACGCUGGCGGCGUGCUUAACACAUGCAAGUCGAACGGGCCCGCUCUCUUUUUUGGGGGUGGGUUGCGUGGCGAACGGGUGAGUAUCACGUGAGUAACCUGCCCCCUGCUCCUGGAUAACUGCUUGAAAGGGCGGCUAAUACGGGGUGUGCCGGCUGGUCCGCAUGGGCCUGGUCGGGGUAGGUUCAUCUUCGGGUGUUUCGGUGGGGGUUGGACUCGCGGCCUAUCAGCUUGUGGGUGGGGUGAUGGCCCACCAAGGCGGUGACGGGUAGCCUGCCUGGGAGGGUGGGCGGCCAGGCUGGGAGAGAGACACCGGCCAGAUUCGUGCGGGAGGCAGCGGUGGGGGGGAUCGCACGGUGGGAGGAAGCCUGAUGCAGCGACGGCGCGGGAGGAAGGGAGGCCUUCGGGUUGUGAAUCUCUUUCGGCGGUGGUGAAGGCCCUGUAAGUUGCGGCGGGGUUGACGGUAGCCGGAGAUGAAGCGCCGGCUAACUACGUG